UCUAAAAAAUGCUGGGUUAUUUGUUUAACCCAACAGCUGGGUUGAGCCUGUUGGGUCAUUUUGUUGGGUUAUUUUCUCAGUGUUGGGUCAUUUUUUGAGUAACCCAAACGCUGGGUUAGCAGUCGGGUCCAAUUGAGUGACAGUUGAGAGAGUAAACCCCUCCCACUCCUCGACGCAUCAGACAAACUUUACCUUCGCGGGCAUUUUGAUCCACCUCAUCUCGGAAAGUUGUUAUUCGGAGAAGAAAAGGUUGCAGAAUAACAGCUAAUAUAAAUGGAUCAUUCUAUUCAAGAGAAAGUCAACUGGAACGUGGAUGUUUUCAUAACAGGCUUAAAGAUGAACAAAUUGAUAAAGAAACCCUCCUGCUGAACAUCCACUUCCAAAAGUGCACGCCACACUGUUGUCUACAAACUCCCAGGAAAAGAAUCCUCUUUAGUAAGACUGCUCCGUGGAUAUGUCAGGUUAAGCAGUGCUGAAACCGAAAGAACUAACACUCUUUAAAAUGUUUUGUGAGUUUAUAUGAAGAGGAAAGUUCCGGUGUCCCUUUUUCACAUCCAUAACGCUUGUUUAUUUCUUUUUUUAUAGAAAACUUGUGCAUAGACUGAUAUUUUAUCAUCUAAAUUCGGUUCUAUCAACAAGGGUUUAGUAAAAUACUUUUUAUAGUGUUUUUAUGUCGCAUCCAUAACGCUGGAAUUGCCCUAAAGCAUUUUACUCGUGCCACUUUGUUAACUGUAUAUGAAUUUUUGAAGUGUUAAGUUGUCUAACUAUUUAUAUUUACUUUAAUAACCUUGUUUAAUGUAUAUGUUAAAAUCUAAACUAAUGUAAUUUAUUGAUGUUAAUUUUCCUUAAAUAUGUAUAAACA